AUGUUUGAUACAAAGAAAAAAUUGAAGUAUGCGGUGAUAAAGUGGGCUAUGUCUACACAGAGGGUUUUUUGGACACACAUAUCAAGUCCAACAAAUUAUACCAUGAAAUGUGUUGAAACAGGUUGUCCUGGGAAGGUGCACGAGCAUGUGCCGAAGUAUAACAUCCACUGGGUUGUCACCAAUGUCGCCCUACAUAAUUGUGUGAGGAAAAACCUGUUGGUGAAUCAUCUUAUCCCGACUUCAACUCUUAUUGCACAACUCAUGUAUACUGAGAUAGUAGAGAAGAAAGAUAUGGAAGCAAAACACAUCCAGACAGCAGUGAAGGUCAGAUGGAAUUAUGUCAUUCCUUAUGGGAACACUACUAGGGAAAAGGCUAGCAGCAGCGCGGGUUUUUGGUGUAUCAGUAGCGCGGGGUGGGGUGCUACUAAUAAGGCGCUACAGCUAACAUAUAGCAGUAGCGCGUGGUCACCGGCGCUACUGCUACACAAGUGUAGCAGCAGCGCUGUUACUGGGAGCACGCUACUGCUAGUAGCUCUAGCGCCCUUUGCAGCAACGCGCUACUGCUAUAGAGGCGCUGCUGCUAACUUCUAUACACUCGCUACUGCUAAUUUAACAGGUUUUUUGUUUUUUUGGGCAUAUUUGUUUUGUAUUUGA
rnacentral:rRNA from 1 species